rnacentral:misc_RNA from 1 species
UACAAUUAGCAACGCUGUUCUAUAGACAGCCAACACAGAUUUUGCCAAACAAUUCUCGAUAUUGGUAUGAAUCGAAGUGUAUUUGUUUGAUGUUUUUUGCUAUCAAACUGCUGCGCAUAUAUGUGGGUUAGAAGUCACUGUAUAUAGUUGUUCUACAAUCUUAUGGCCGCUUCUUUAACCAGCUCUCGUUCGAUCGUCGGGAUUCACAAUCUUCUCGUGUGUGAUAUUUGUAAAAAGACUAUCAGCGAGCCGAAAAAGUUGUCUUGCUCUCAUUCAUUCUGCAAGGCCUGUGUCGAGAACCUGACGACACAAGACGAGGGAAUUGUCGAUGGCGAAUGCAAGAAGUUAGUCUGCCCGACCUGCAAGACCACAACCACAUUGAAACCAAACGAAACAGUCUCCGUAUUGCCAGAUAAUGAAUGUAUUGCUAAGCUGUUAACAGCUGUCGAUUCUAAUAGUAGUGAAGAGGCUUUUCCUUUGGUUUGCUCUUUUUGCGGUAAGGGAUUCGUUCUAACAAUUUGUGUUGAAUGCAGCAUGCUUUUCUGCCAUGAAUGUCAUAUGACACACGAACGAUGGCCGGCUAACAAAGGCCAUAAUUUGCUGUCUCUGAGUAACAUCAUAAACCGUGACGAUCAAAAGCAAAUAGUCGUCGACACGUUACGCUGCACCCCCCACGAGACCGCAAUUCCGGAAUUUUAUUGCGAAACGUGCAAGGAACUGAUUUGCAUAAAAUGCUUAGCGUCCAUUCACACGAAACCAGGUCAUAACUGCAUCGCGAUUCAUGAAAUCCAUCGCAAACAAAGGGACGCUGUGGAGUUAAAAUACGCCAAUAUUAACGCAAUGUUUCAAGAAGGAAAUGAGGCAUUAGAAAGUGUGAAAAACAACAAGGCAAAUUACGAAAAAACCGCGGAAGAUAUCAAAUUAAAACACAUCGCUCAGAAAGAUAAAGUAAUGAAAGAUGUUGAAGAUCGUAUGAACAAAAUUUUGGAGGAGAAAAUUCAAGAAGUUGACAAAGUCUACGAUCCCGCGUGUCAAAGCCUUUUCACUCAGAGUGAAAAGAUAUCAAAUUACCUGGAAAAAGUUGAAAAAUCGCUUCAGCGUACAAGGGAUGUGUUGGAAAAUUCGAAGCUUGAGGAAUUGUUGACAGCCCACAAAGUUAUCGAUGAAGAUAUUCAAAUGCUGCAAAAUGAGAAGCCAUCAAAUUUAAAAACGUUUGCAAAUCCAGAAUCCUGUAUGGAAAAACUUUGUUUUUAUAAUAUGUUCAAGAAAUUGGCAGAGGAUAAUUGUCCUCCUCCGCCUGAUCCAGUGACAUUGAUACCAGAUAGCGUGAUUUUGAAAGAGCAUCGCUCCAUGGUUGGCAGAGCCAGAAGUUUCAUCAGUUGUGUGAUGGUAAAAGAGGAACAGUAGUUUUGGUGAAAGUUGGAAACUGGAUCUUUGGAGGAUACACUGAUCAAACUUGGGAAGGUCGACGUCAAUAUAGAUCUUCCUAUAGAUCCUUUUUAUUUUCAUUACGAAACCCACGCAACCUGCAACCGUUUAAAUGCUCAAUCAUUAGUGGAAGAAAUGGAGACGCGAUCUACUGUAAUCCUUCUGGUGGAGCAAUCUUUGGUAGAGGCUCUCAAUUUGAUCUCCACAUCGCCAACAAUGCCAACAGCAAUCGCAACUCUUACAGCUACCUUGGUUACACCUACCAACCACCAGCAGGAUAUCAGCCCGGGACUUCUCAAACCCGAAAGUUGUUUGCUGAUAGUGACAACUUCACACCCACGGAAAUCGAAGUGUUUUA